UACGUAGGGUGCAAGCGUUGUCCGGAAUUAUUGGGCGUAAAGAGCUCGUAGGCGGUUUGUUGCGUCGGCUGUGAAAUCCCGAGGCUCAACCUCGGGUCUGCAGUCGAUACGAGCAAACUAGAGUGUUGCAGGGGAGACUGGAAUUCCUGGUGUAGCGGUGAAAUGCGCAGAUAUCAGGAGGAACACCGGUGGCGAAGGCGGGUCACUGGACUGGUACUGACGCUGAGGCGCGAAAGCGUGGGGAGCAAACAGG
rnacentral:rRNA from 1 species